AUGCAAAGUGGCUCUGUGAAUAGGUUAUUGUUAGAGGUCAGACUGUAGAGCUCAGGAUCAGAUCAGGACCAUCAGUGGACAGGAGAGUAUUGUGGGCAGAGUGAGUAUUUACCUUCAGUUGAUUUAUCUGAAGAGUCUAGUUCAUCUGUUAACUGAUGAUGUUUUCAUUACGCCACAAGAUCUUGACCUGACCUGAGACUGACAACCAGCGAAUCAACAAAAACAGAUGUGAGAUGAAUACACUGUGGCUGCCUCUUCUUCUGAGCUCAGUCAUAUGGGCAGAGGAGCAGUAUUUUCCUCAGUUACCCAAUGCCACAUGGGACGAUGCCAGACUCUACUGUCAGUCCUGUUUCAAAGAACUGAUGACCAUCACCUGCAGUAACGUCCACCUCAUUGUGAAGAACCUUUCUUCGGACUACUGGGUUGGACUCCGCAGGAGUUACAAUGGCUCCUUCCCUUGGGCUGAAUGGUCCAAUGGGGAUCCUGUUACAUAUCAGAAUUGGUACCCUGGUCAUCCUGUUCCAAAUAAAGAAAAGAAACUGAUUCCUAUAUGUUCCUCAACUACAGAAAGUCCACUGAGCACCCUAAUAACUACCACAACAUCUACCCUAAUGACCUCACUAGAAACCUCCACAGUAACUUCUGCUCCGGUAACCUCUCCAAAGACUUCCACAAUAUUUCAAACUGAAAAAGCAGAGGAUACAUGUCCUAUACUGACUGAUAUCCUUGAUUGCUUAAAUAUGACAUGUUAUGAUCUUGAAAGUGCCAUGACUAUGUGUAAUAGAACAACAACUGUCACCCCUAAGACCACAACAUACAACACUGCCCCUGAGGUCACAACAUUUAGCACCACUUUUAAUGCCGCAACAAACGGCACCACAACCGAAGGCGCCACAACUGAGGGUCCCACAACCGAAGGCGCCACAACUGAGGGUCCCACAACCGAAGGCGCCACAACCGAGAGCACCACCACCAGCAACUGCAUCUCUGAACCCGCGCCAGAUCCUGAACAGUACAUCGAGGAUGCUUGUGUGGUCCUGCUCAGCUUCGGCAUGUGGAAGGAAGAAGACUGCAAUAAAAGUCUACCCUACAUCUGUUAUGAAGAGCGCUUUUUUGGCCAGAUAUACGUUUCCGACGUGAACACAAGUGCAGCCAAUCUGAGCUGGACUGAGGGGCCCGGUGCUGAGAACAUCAGUCACUACAGAGUGGAGAUCACUGAGGACAAUAACCAGACAUUUAAUCAGACAUUUAACCAGACAUUUUUCCAGACUGAGCUGUUUGAACACAUACAAAAUCUGACAGCAGGAACUCUGUACAGAGUUCAGAUGUUUCCUGUGAAAUGUGGCAGGGAUCUCAAUCCGCAGAAUAUCUCCUUCUACACCCAGCCCUCUGAUGUGCAAAAUCUGACAAUAGUCGGUAUGACAAACGUUAGCGCCAACCUCAAGUGGAGGAAUCCAGAAGGAAACCACGACUUCUACUCAGUACAUGUCGAAUGCAAGUUAAAUAAAUCUAUUCAUGACAAAGUCGAA
rnacentral:lncRNA from 1 species